UGGAUCAGGAGGGGUAAUCGUGAUCAAUGGGACAUUCAUUGACGGUACCACUCCUGUUCCUAGUGAACACACCAAUCCUCUUCCAAGAGGUCGUAGAAUUAGUUACGGAGUUGUCAUAGUUAAUGGAACAAGUAAAAACAGACUACCUCUACCAUAUAAGAAAAAUCGAGUAAUAGAUUGGGAAUGUUACAGGGGAGAAAAAGUAUUCAACUACAGCGUUCUACCCGAUUACAGCGUACAACAAACUACGUGCAAUAGUAGAUGCAAGGAUUGUGGUUACCGUUAUGCCGUGCUUCACGUGAAACUUUGCGCAUGCGUAAACGACCUGGGUGAUAUGAUUAAAGUUAAUCGAUCAAAUUGCUCGCUUAGGUGUUUUGGACGCGAGCAGAUGAUAUGUGGAGGUGGCACCAGAUAUUAUGU